GCACAUUUUAAUUAUUGCUUUAAAAACUAUUUUUAGAAUACUUGGACCUAAUCACUGUCAUCAAGUAUUUGUCUCUCCCAGAUUGUUACUCCUCAGAGGCAGAGAAUGGACUGAUGGAGGCAGAUCUCAGCCUAUGGAAAGGACCAGGAAUUGUGCCAUACAGAUCUAAGUUGAUCACAGCACCCGAAUAUGAUUUUUAUUGGCAACUGGAGCAAUUUCAGUGCAUAUGAAUCACAGAAUCACAGAAUCAGCUGAACUGGAAGAGAUCCUCAAGGAUCACUGAGUCCAACUCCUGGCCCUGCACAGGACACCCCAAGAGUCACACCAUGGAUCUGAAAGUGUUGUCUAAACACUUCUUGAACCCUGUCAGUCUGGUGCUGUGACCAC
rnacentral:lncRNA from 12 species